GAUGAACGCUGGCGGCGUGCCUAAUACAUGCAAGUCGAACGCAUAGCGAAAGGUGCUUGCACCUUUCAAGUGAGUGGCGAACGGGUGAGUAACACGUGGACAACCUGCCUCAAGGCUGGGGAUAACAUUUGGAGACAGAUGCUAAUACCGAAUAAAACUUAGUGUCGCAUGACACAAAGUUAAAAGGCGCUUCGGCGUCACCUAGAGAUGGAUCCGCGGUGCAUUAGUUAGUUGGUGGGGUAAAGGCCUACCAAGACAAUGAUGCAUAGCCGAGUUGAGAGACUGAUCGGCCACAUUGGGACUGAGACACGGCCCAAACUCCUACGGGAGGCUGCAGUAGGGAAUCUUCCACAAUGGGCGAAAGCCUGAUGGAGCAACGCCGCGUGUGUGAUGAAGGCUUUCGGGUCGUAAAGCACUGUUGUAUGGGAAGAACAGCUAGAAUAGGAAAUGAUUUUAGUUUGACGGUACCAUACCAGAAAGGGACGGCUAAAUACGUG
rnacentral:rRNA from 1 species